GGUAUGUCUUCCUUUGGAGUGUUUUAAUUUUUGGGAAAACUUCAAAAACUCCCCCUGUGGUUUCGUAGUUUCUCACUUUGUCCCCCUGUGGUUUAAAGUGUAUCAAUUUACCACCCUGUGGUUUCGUUUUUAUCUUUUCGGUAGCUUUUUCGUUAAUAUUUCGUUAAAUUAUAUACAAAAAACUUCAGAUACCCAUCUAGAUUUAUCAAAUAUUUACUUUAGUACCUUUUAAUUUUAACUUUAUUACUGACUUAAGAAAAAAAAAUAAUGAAAUUGAUAAUAAAAAGAGAAAAAUAAAAUCAUAGGGGGGCAAAUUGAUACAUUUUAAACCACAGGGGGGCAAAGUGAGGAACUAUGAAACCACAUGGGGGCUUUUUGAAGUUUUCCCUCAAAUUUUUA
rnacentral:lncRNA from 1 species